rnacentral:rRNA from 1 species
GAUGAACGCUGGCGGCGUGCCUAAUACAUGCAAGUAGAACGCUGAAGCUUGGUGCUUGCACCGAGCGGAUGAGUUGCGAACGGGUGAGUAACGCGUAGGUAACCUGCCUGGUAGCGGGGGAUAACUAUUGGAAACGAUAGCUAAUACCGCAUGACAACAGUUAUUGCAUGAUAACUGUUUAAAAGGGGCAAUUGCUCCACUACCAGAUGGACCUGCGUUGUAUUAGCUAGUUGGUGAGGUAACGGCUCACCAAGGCGACGUUACAUAGCCGACCUGAGAGGGUGAUCGGCCACACUGGGACUGAGACACGGCCCAGACUCCUACGGGAGGCAGCAGUAGGGAAUCUUCGGCAAUGGACGGAAGUCUGACCGAGCAACGCCGCGUGAGUGAAGAAGGUUUUCGGAUCGUAAAGCUCUGUUGUAAGAGAAGAACGAGUGUGAGAGUGGAAAGUUCACACUGUGACGGUAUCUUACCAGAAAGGGACGGCUAACUACGUG